UACGUAGGUAGCGAGCGUUGUCCGGAAUGACUGGGCGUAAAGGGUGCGUAGGUGGCUUAGUAAGUUGGUAGUGUAAUUCCGGGGCUUAACUCCGGCGCUACUACCAAGACUGCCAAGCUUGAGUACAGGAGAGGUAAGUGGAAUUCCUAGUGUAGCGGUGGAAUGCGUAGAUAUUAGGAAGAACACCGGUGGCGAAGGCGACUUACUGGCCUGCAACUGACACUGAGGCACGAAAGCGUGGGGAGCAAAC
rnacentral:rRNA from 1 species